GAUGAACGCUGGCGGCGUGCCUAAUACAUGCAAGUCGAGCGAACGGACGAGAAGCUUGCUUCUCUGAUGUUAGCGGCGGACGGGUGAGUAACACGUGGAUAACCUACCUAUAAGACUGGGAUAACUUCGGGAAACCGGAGCUAAUACCGGAUAAUAUUUUGAACCGCAUGGUUCAAAAGUGAAAGACGGUCUUGCUGUCACUUAUGGAUGGAUCCGCGCUGCAUUAGCUAGUUGGUAAGGUAACGGCUUACCAAGGCAACGAUGCAUAGCAGACCUGAGAGGUUGAUCGGCCACACUGGAACUGAAACACGGCCCAGACUCCUACGGGAGGCAGCAGUAGGGAACCUGCCGCAAUGGGCGAAAGCCUGACGGAGCAACGCCGCGUGAGUGAUGAAGGUCUUCGGACCGUAAACCUCUGUUAUUAGGGAAGAACAUAUGUGUAAGUAACUGUGCACAUCUUGACGGUACCUAAUCAGAAAGCCACGGCUAACUACGUG
rnacentral:rRNA from 1 species